GCAACGUGCAUAUUGGGGGGUGAUUUUUUUCCGGCGUUUAAAGAGAGUCCGCGAAAUAUGUAAUGAAACCACGUGACUAAGCGCAUGCGCUACCGUAAAGAGAACGCUGAGGUAUACGCGUAAAAGCAUAAAAAAAGAAAGCCUAAAAAAGAAGUAUUCACCGGGAGCCUCGUGUGGCAGUUAUCUCGGCCAGACAUCUCAUCCGGAAUGCCGGAGAGCGGUGUGGCCAGUUGUCUAGCAAAAUUGUCGAGUCAUUGCCAGCCGAGCAAAUAGGUAGCCGUCUUCGAGAUAAGGCAUACGCAUGAGCGCACUCGAUUCCAGAUACCGAGGUGAUGCGACAGUCUCAGGGUGUGCUUCUUUUUAUUGUGUUUUCUUUAGUUGUGCGUCACGACAUACGUCAAGGCGCGAAUUUCAAAUUCUUUAAGGUGAAUGCGCCACAUGGUGGCGAACAGAGGAAACCAAACGAAAUUUAUCUAAUUCGUAGGUAUGGUUAGCUGACGCGAGUAUCAAAACGAAAGAGAAGUAAUUUGAAAUAAAGUUAAGACACACUAUGUUAUUUUCUAUUCCUUUUCACUAAAGCAAAAAAAGUUUUGCGUGUAAAAGAAGUUAUACUUUGUGACUCGGCCAUAUGACUCGGCUUUCUUGCGUCACCCAGCGGCGAGCCAAUGGCAGGCCAGACAUGCGACAGACGCACGACGGAAGCGUGCGCGGCCGCACGCGCGUUAGACGUGCUGUAUUUUUUUUUUUUCGCGUAAAUCGCGCAAACUCUGCGACGUCUUUGUGGGUCCCUGCAGCUCUUCGGCGCGGCGCUCCUGCGGUAUGUGACGACGGCAAGGACAUUCCGGUGGCUCGUGGUUCGAACAAAGCAGGGAUGAACAGCCGGGUCAAGCUGCGUUUUCCAGCAGACGAGGCGUUCAGAGAUACAGGUGCAUUGGUGAUGCUGCAAGAAAUCUGUCCAUCAUACUACUGAACAAGAGGACGCUGCCUAGGCUGCCGUUGCUGAUGCUAGUCCUUCCACGACAGCUGGUCAGGUCAGAGAUUCGGUCGGCUUCGACGUCACCGCAGAGAUGGUUCGACAACGGCCUCUUCGAAGUAUGUUUCAGGAACCGAAGUGCUGCCAAGAAAUCGCAGUUUCCGAUGAGGCGAGGGCAGACAGGUCCGCGUUCGCUCCAGCCCAUCUUCACUGGAUUGCAGAUGACUGACGAAACUUUGCUUUCCUUGACUAGUCCACGUUUUGUACCCAGUGCAGCCAAAAACAGGUCAGUCGACCAGACCUCGGGAGGUGCAUAUUAUUUCGGAGUUUUAUUAAGUUUAAUUCCGCCCGUUUCCAUGCAUCCUGCUUACUGUAAUUGUAUAGUGAUCCGUCUUUACGACAUCAUGCCCACAGACACAUGCGUCGAAAAGCGCUGUAAUUUUGCAUCUAAGUAAUCGAUAAUAUUCAGGACCCCCUCCACUUCCCUUUAAUUUACUUAAGGACCCCUCACUGAGUGGAUUACAUAAGGGGUGGGGUUCACAAAUGUUUAUUCUAAUUGGUGGCCACAUGAGUUCAAUGAAUAAUAUUAAUAUUAAGUUUAUCCGCAAACGUC